GACGAACGCUGGCGGCGUGCUUAACACAUGCAAGUCGAACGGAAAGGCCCUGCUUUUGUGGGGUGCUCGAGUGGCGAACGGGUGAGUAACACGUGAGUAACCUGCCCUUGACUUUGGGAUAACUUCAGGAAACUGGGGCUAAUACCGGAUAGGAGCGCCUGCUGCAUGGUGGGGGUUGGAAAGUUUCGGCGGUUGGGGAUGGACUCUCGGCUUAUCAGCUUGUUGGUGGGGUAGUGGCUUACCAAGGCUUUGACGGGUAGCCGGCCUGAGAGGGUGACCGGCCACAUUGGGACUGAGAUACGGCCCAGACUCCUACGGGAGGCAGCAGUGGGGAAUAUUGCACAAUGGGCGGACGCCUGAUGCAGCAACGCCGCGUGCGGGAUGACGGCCUUCGGGUUGUAAACCGCUUUCGCCUGUGACGAAGCGUGAGUGACGGUAAUGGGUAAAGAAGCACCGGCUAACUACGUG
rnacentral:rRNA from 1 species